GAUGAACGCUGGCGGCGUGCCUAAUACAUGCAAGUUGAGCGAACAGACGAGGAGCUUGCUCCUCUGACGUUAGCGGCGGACGGGUGAGUAACACGUGGAUAACCUACCUAUAAGACUGGGAUAACUUCGGGAAACCGGAGCUAAUACCGGAUAAUAUAUUGAACCGCAUGGUUCAAUAGUGAAAGACGGUUUUGCUGUCACUUAUAGAUGGAUCCGCGCCGCAUUAGCUAGUUGUUAAGGUAACGGCUUACCAAGGCAACGAUGCGUAGCCGACCUGAGAGGGUGAUCGGCCACACUGGAACUGAGACACGGUCCAGACUCCUACGGGAGGCAGCAGUAGGGAAUCUUCCGCAAUGGGCGAAAGCCUGACGGAGCAACGCCGCGUGAGUGAUGAAGGUCUUCGGAUCGUAAAACUCUGUUAUUAGGGAAGAACAAAUGUGUAAGUAACUAUGCACGUCUUGACGGUACCUAAUCAGAAAGCCACGGCUAACUACGUG
rnacentral:rRNA from 1 species